rnacentral:RNase_P_RNA from 1 species
CAAGAAAUUCGGCCUGUUGAUUCCAGAGAUAAGACCCGUAAGGGUCUUUUAAGUACUGGGGUAGGAAAGUCCGGACACCGUAGGGCAGCAUAGCGGAUAACAUCCGCCCGUAGUGAUACGAGGACCAGUGCAACAGAAAGAAUGUACAGUUCGGCUGUAGUGAAACCAGGUAAACUCUAUGCGGUGCAAUGGUAAGUAUAUCGGCAGUUAAGGGCGGCCCGUCCGUUGCCGAGGGGUAAUCAGCUCAAGGGGCGCAGCAAUGCGCGUCGUAGAUAAAUAACAGGCGCCCCUUUUGGGGAACAGAAUCCGGCUUACAGAAUUUCUUGCUGU